rnacentral:lncRNA from 1 species
AUGGGCCCGAUGUCCCUACCCCCAAACAGACGUUUGAAUUUUUCUGGUAGUUCGCAAACAGUUAGUUCUACCCCAUUUUUAGAAAAUAAUCGUCACGACGACACGUUAUCUGGCAUUUUAGAAGAAUCAGAAAUUACCGCCAUGAAUUCUCCAGUCACUAAUGUGAACACGUCAGAUACCGCGUAUGUCGAAAUACAUAUCCCAGAAUACACCAUCCCUCAAACUCAACCAAACCCCACAUCGUCUGCCACAGGACCCAUCCCGUCAAUUUUACCGAAUAACCCAGCUGUUCGUAAUUUUAAAUCGCCAAAAAUCCCCCUCCCUACUUUUUCCGGGAGCGCAAGCGAAAAUGUACAAGAUUAUUUCUUAGCACUUGAAUCUGCAAUUUUAGUUAACCAAUUUGACCCUGAUUUAGUUCCUUUUUUUCUCGAAUCUCACCUUAAAGGAGAAGCGCUGUCCUACCUGAAAUUUUUACGAAAAUCGGAUCCUAACUUAAAUUUUCAAACUCUUAAGAAUAAAUUUUUGGAACAAUUUUCACUUAAAAAUCCCAUCUCUUUCUAUCAAUCUCAGCUCGAUACUUUAACUAUGAAUGAUUCAUCAAUAACAGAUUAUCUAUUCAAAGUAAAAUUACUCUGUAAAAAUCUCAAUCUUACUCCAGAUUUUACAAUUUUUCAUAUUUUAAAAGGCCUCCCUAUUCAUGUUAAAUCUAUAAUUACUUUGUUUCCGCACGAUACUCUAGAAGAGUUAGAGGAUUCGAUUCGUAAAUUUUCUAAGAGACAUGCCGAGCUUCAGACCCCCAUUGCCCCAGCCUCCAACCCACCAUCUGAGGAUAAAUUGACAGAGCUGAUUCAAAUGGUUCAAAAACAAUCAAAACAGAUUGAGAAACUUAAAUCCAAACGAAAUUUUCGCCCCUCAGGUCAAAAUCCCCAGCCUCCCAAAAUUUCGCAAACGAAACCGGAACAUCUCCCCGUUGUAAUGUUUGCGCGGAUCUUCAUCCCACUGAUUCGUGUAACGUUCGUUUUUGCCGGUAUUGUAAGAAUACUGAUCACACAUACAAUUUUGUCCUGA